GUAUUCCGGCCCUGCUCCGACAGCGGGAGAGGAGGAAGUCGGGGGUGGACACCAUGAAUCGUCUAAUCCUACUGUUGCCUCAAGAGGUCGUCAGCAACCACCCACAAGGCGCCGGGGAGCACGCGGCGGUCGGGGACGUGGUUCAAGGGCCUCUGCCAGAACGGAUGAGGAGGAAUUAUCCGGUUUCUAUA